rnacentral:rRNA from 1 species
UACCAGCACCCCGAGUGGUCGGGACGUUUAUUGGGCCUAAAGCAUCCGUAGCCGGUUCUACAAGUCUUCCGUUAAAUCCAGCUGCUUAACAGAUGGGCUGCGGAAGAUACUAUGGAGCUAGGAGGCGGGAGAGGCAAGCGGUACUCGAUGGGUAGGGGUAAAAUCCGUUGAUCCAUUGAAGACCACCAGUGGCGAAGGCGGCCUGCCAGAACGCGCUCGACGGUGAGGGAUGAAAGCUGGGGGAGCAAACCGG